rnacentral:rRNA from 1 species
GUGGAUUAGAUACCCUGGUAGUCCACGCCGUAAACGAUGAUUACUCGUUGUUGGCGAUAUAAAGUCAGCGACUGAGCGAAAGCAUUAAGUAAUCCACCUGGGGAGUACGGCGGCAACGCUGAAACUCAAAGGAAUUGACGGGGGCCCGCACAAGCGGAGGAACAUGUGGUUUAAUUCGAUGAUACGCGAGGAACCUUACCUGGGCUUAAAUGUAGCGUGACCGUCCCUGAAAGGGGAUUUCCAAGCAAGUGGCAGGUUACAAGGUGCUGCACGGCUGUCGACAGCU